rnacentral:tRNA from 1 species
GCGGCUGUAACUCAGCUGGAUAGAGUACCUGGCUACGAACCAGGAAGUCAGGAGUUCGAAUCUCUUCAGCCGCGCCA